CGAUCCUCAGGCGCCUCGCUCCAGCGGCGUGGCAGCCUGGCGUUGGGGCGCUACGGCGCGCUGCGGCGCCGCCCGUAGGCCUCGAAAUGCAGUGGCGGGACCGUCCAGACCCCGAGCGCAGUAGUCUCCCUCUCGCUCAGGGCCGUCUGGCGGCCUCCCUGCCAGGAGGAUCAGAGCCUGAA
rnacentral:misc_RNA from 1 species